AGCCGCGCAUAGCUCAUUACAACAGCCGUGUGUUUCUUGGAUCUCAUCCUUACUUGGAUAACUGUCGAAAUGCGAGAGCUAAUACAUGCAAGAAGCCCUGACCUUUUGGGAUGGGUGCACUUAUUAGAGCAAAACCAAUCAGCCUCGGCUGUCACAUUGGUGAAUCUGAAUAACUGAGCGGAUUGCACUGGUCCUAGUACCGGCAACAUAUCCUUCAAGUGUCUGCCUUAUCAACUUUCGAUGGUAGUUUAUAUGCCUACCAUGGUUGUAACGGGUAACGGAAAAUCAGGGUUUGAUUCCGGAGAGGGCGCCCGAGAAAUGGCGACCACUUCUAAGGAAGGCAGCAGGCGCGUAACUUACCCACUCUCAGAUUGAGGAGGUAGUGACGAAAAAUAUCGAGCUGGUAGUCUAUCGAUUAUCAGCAUCGGAAUGAGAACAAUAUAAAUGUGUUAUCGAGUAACUAGCAGAGGGCAAGUCUGGUGCCAGCAGCCGCGGUAAUUCCAGCUCUGCAAGUGUAUAUCAAUGUUGCUGCGGUUAAAAAGCUCGUAGUUGGAUCUGUGUGACCAGGGUCUGGUCCAGCCAUGUGCUGCGUACUGGUACCCGUCACUUACCACUGCUGGUCUUGUCCCAAUGCCCUUCACUGGGUGUUGGCGACUGGCUAGCGAGUUUACUUUGAAAAAAUUAGAGUGCUCAACACAGGCGCAAUGCCUGAAUACUUCUGCAUGGAAUAAUGGAAGAGGACCUCGGUUCUGUUUUGUUGGUUUUAAGAGCAUGAGGUAAUGAUUAAGAGGAACAGACGGGGGCAUUCGUAUUCCGGCGUUAGAGGUGAAAUUCUUGGAUCGUCGGAAGACGACAACUGCGAAGGCAUUUGCCAAGAAUGUUUUCAUUAAUCAAGAACGAAAGUUAGAGGUUCGAAGGCGAUCAGAUACCGCCCUAGUUCUAACCGUAAACGAUGCAAACUAGCGAUCAGGUGACGUUUCACAUGACCCACCUGGGAGCUUACCGGAAACGAAAGUUUUCGUGUUCCGGGGGGAAUAUGUCUGCAAAGAUGAAACUUAAAGGAAUUGACGGAAGGGCACCACCAGGAGUGGAGCCUGCGGCUUAAUUUGACUCAACACGGGAAAACUCACCCGGCCCGGACACCGUAAGGAUUGACAGAUUGAGAGCUCUUUCUUGAUUCGGUGGGUGGUGGUGCAUGGCCGUUCUUAGUUGGUGGAGCGAUCUGUCUGGUUUAUUCCGAUAACGAACGAGACUGUGACCUACUAAAUAGUGGACACAUCAUCUAUGUGUGCCUCACUUCUUAGAGGGAUAAGCGUUAUUGAAGACGCAUGAAAUACAGCAAUAACAGGUCUGUGAUGCCCUUAGAUGUCCGGGGCUGCACGCGCGCUACACUGAGACAAUCAACGUGCAUCCUACCUUGCUUGAAAGAGCUGGGUAACCCGUUGAAAAUGUCUCGUGAUUGGGAUAGCACAUUGCAAUUAUUGUGCUUGAACGA
rnacentral:rRNA from 1 species